UUAGUUGGUGUUUGCAAGCUGAAUAGUAAAGACGGAGAGAUGUGUACCUCUCUCUCUGGUUACAGAGCUCUUACAGAAUCAAGAUUUGGUAGUUUUAAAAUUGACAAAACUUCACCUACUCCCUACUCCGAUGCGACCAAGACGUGUCAUGAUUCCAAUAGGAUCAAGAGGCCUAUGAACGCAUUCAUGGUCUUCUCCCAUUACCAGAGAAGAAAGAUUGUUGAGAAUCAGCCUGAUAUUCACAACGCCGAGAUCUCUAAAAGGUUGGGACGGGAGUGGAAAGAGAUGAUGGAUUACGAGAAGCUCCCCUAUAUCCAAGAAGCUGAGAAACUCCGAACCCUGCAUCUACAGGAGUAUCCAGGAUAUAAGUAUCAACCAAAGAAGAAACCCAAAGCAUCCAAUUCACCCAAAUCCUUCCUUGAAAGUCAGAUGAAAAGUGCAGUGAUUAAACCAACCCGUCCUGGAACAGUUUUCAGACUAAACAAUAUGUUUGGAAGUAAUUCUUGGGUUAAUCAAAGGAUUCCUCUAUCAACUCGAACCCAACCCAUCAAUACAUCCAAUCUUAAACUCAAGUUCACCAUUGACAGUAAGUUUAAGGCAAAGAUGGCAAAGAAUCAGAACAGACUGAUACCCAUGUCCAGAUUGGUGAGCGAACCUUCUUCAACAUGCUCAACACCCUCUCCGACAAGUUCAACACCUUCUCCAGGUGUACCAAGAACCCCUGAGCUGCCUGCUUCUCCAGAUUCAACCUCUUUCUAUGACGAGCUCCACAAGAAUCUUUUUAAUAUCAAGAACAAUCUGGAUUUUGAUGAAAUCAAACAUGAGAUCAAGGGAGAGCCCUCCUCCCCCAGCAAGUUUGAAUACAUUGGUUCUCUUCCAGUCAAAAUUGAAAACGUUCUUUCUGAAAACAUUGAUCCUAUGGAUACCUUUGAUAGCUUUCUCAGCAACCCUGCCUACGUCAGUGAUUUUCUCAACUUUGAUCUUGGUAUGGACGUGAUCGAAGAUACGAGUGUGUUCCCCACUAGUUUCUCUUUACCGGAGCCGGAGAGUUGGCAGAACCUUGAUCUCAAUGAUCUUCUCUAGUUAGGAUUAAACCGCAGAGUAGGACCGACCAGGGUUCGGAUAUAAAUAGCUCCGGAUACUGGUUUCCUCUCCUGGUUUCCCUUUAUCCGAACUUAAACCAAAGAACUCCGAGGAGAAUGAUUGCUGAUGAAACCAGAAACUAAAUUUAUAAACACUAUUCAACAACUCAAACCAGAUUACCAAGAAAUUUAAAGAUUUAAUAUUAGCUCAUUAUAUAGUGAUCUUCGUACCGUAUCAAUUUUUCUCUACACAAAGCGGGAGCACCAAAUGUAUUUUUGGGCAUACACUGAACUUGGACUUAUUUUUACUUUUAGGUAUUAUUAGAAUAUAAGGACUGUGAUAAAAGUACUUUUAUCUUGCAUUUAGUUAAUAAAUGAUUAAGUACCAUA
rnacentral:misc_RNA from 1 species